CGCCGAACUGAUCGCGCCGGUGCCCGCCAAACGGGCUUAAUCGGGAAUGCGGUGCGGGGGGCUGGCCUCUCCAAAUCCGCGGCUGUCCCUGCAACUGUAAACGGAUAGCGCGAUGCACAUGCGCCCUUGCCAAGGGCCAGCCACUGGGCCGGACGCUAAAUCCUGCGAGGUCUGGGAAGGCGUGCAUCAAGCUGUGACCCGCAAGCCAGGAGACCUGCCGGCGUCUGGUCGCUCUU
rnacentral:ncRNA from 2 species